AUUGAACGCUGGCGGCAGGCCUAACACAUGCAAGUCGAACGAGUGGCGGACGGGUGAGUAAUGUCUGGGAAACUGCCUGAUGGAGGGGGAUAACUACCGGAAACGGUAGCUAAUACCGCAUACCAUCAGAUGUGCCCAGAUGGGAUUAGCUUGUUGGUGGGGUAACGGCUCACCAAGGCGACGAUCCCUAGCUGGUCUGAGAGGAUGACCAGCAACACAGGGACUGAUACCCGGUCCGGACUCCUACGGGAUGCAGCAAUGGUGAAUAAUGCACAAUGGGCGCAAGCCUGAUGCGGCCAUGCGGCGUGUAUGACGAAGGGUUUAGGGUUGUAAAGUACUUUCGGCGGGGAGGCGUUACCCGCAGAAGUAGCGCCGGCUAACUCCGAGCCAGCAGCCGCGGUAAUAC
rnacentral:rRNA from 1 species